rnacentral:lncRNA from 1 species
AGAUUACCCGGUGAGGGGCCGGCUGGGCGGCUGGGCGGAUGGCACUGUGGUGACAGGUCCAUCAGGUGCCGCGCCUCGCCUCUCGGAGGGGACAUUUCCUGGGGCUGCUGGUGACAAGCCCAGGCUGUGGAGGAGUGCAGAUGAGGUGGAGACAGGCCAGCCCCUCGCCUGGAGACAGCGAUGGGAAGGGGCUCUGCUUCUCUGAUGCAUCCUCCCAAGAAGCCCAAGUUGUCACCUGGGCCUAGCCCUGCUCUGCUUUGUGGCCACCCAGUGAAUCUGUCCCUGCUGUAACUCCAAAGCUUCCCUCUCUCCUUGCCACGGCCUCCCAGUGGGUAAGUCUCUCUCCUGCUUCGCUUCCUUCUUCCUCCGAUCCUGCUUCCAUUUGCAGGCAGGGUCAUCUUUCUAAAGCAUGUCACUCCCCUGUUUGGCCCCUGCAUCCACCCCACUGUCCCAGGGGAAAGCCCUGGCUCCUUGGCCUAAGAGCCAAGCCCUUAAGGAUCUGGCUUUGGCUCUUGGUGGCCACACCCUGCCCUCUUCUAGCUGCUCUGAGCCUUUGCACAGGCCUCUCCCUCCUGGUACCCCCCACCCCUUCACCCUGCCACUUCCCCACGGGGCCUAAAUUCUACUUCUCCCUAAGGUCUCAGCUGGGACAUCACCUCCACCUUGAAGCCUUCCCUGAGGAAAUCUGGGCUGGGUGCCCCCCAGUGUGCCUGGCACUUACCGCUUGAUCAGCCUCAUUAUCCUAAGAGCUCGCUGGGGAAGAGUCUCGAGGUGUGCAGGGCUCGUACUAAGUGUGUGUCCACAUUCGUUCCAUCCUGGACUGACCAGAGUGUGGUAAAGUCCUGUUUGUCUGUCUCACCCACCUUAUAAUUAUCUCAAGGGCUUUCUGAUUGCCUACAUUAUAAAGGAGGAAAUGGGGGCUCCCCAGAGGGACUGAUAUGCUCAGAGGCACCAGCAGGUAGUGGCUGAGGUAGCCAAGAAUUCAAGGAUCCUGACUACCUGCAUCCUAGCCCACAUCCUACCCUUGAUAUCUCAGCUUCUGGGGGCUGGUCCUGAGCUCUGGCUGGAAGCAGCCCUGGUAAGUUAGACUUUAGCCAGGACCUCUCCUCCCAGGAGCCCUGGGCCUCCAGGGCCCUGACCGUUCUAAGCAGCUACUAGCUGGGGGCAUGGGGGGCUGCUCCUCCCAGCAUGGCCAGGCCAGGAAUUCACAGCCCCCCUCCUCUGAUCUCUCGGCUCCAUUUCUGCAGCCCCUCUGUGGACUCCAGCUCCUGACCUCACCUGGUUGUGACCUCCUGGCUCUCGGAUCUCACCUCUGCCUUGUGCCCAAUGCUCAUAUCCACUAUCUGCAUUCAGAUCAGCCUCUGGCCCCACCCUGCCUCCAGCCUGCUGGCUCUGUGCAGGCAGCUGGGGACAAACCCAAGCCGGGCCCCACCCGAGGCCCUCCCUGGCCCACCCUCAGUCUGGGCUUUGGGCUUGUUCUCUCAGCCUGUUCCCCCCACCAGCGCUUUGAACCCUGAGGUGGGAGCUCAGCGCUCUGGCCCCACCUCCUCUCCACACCGCUGCUGCCGGGGGGCUGGGGGGGCUGGGGAUGAUGAAGACGCCUCCGAAGGAGGAAGCUAAAGAUGUAAACGAGCCCGUGAAAUCCCCGAUGACAGCCGUGACCACUGCAGCUCCAGCCAUUAAACACGGAGCUUUAACGGCCCCCGAAAUACACCUGGGGCACUUGUCAGCAGCUCCUGCUCAUCGCACGUGCACAUGCGAGCCGCACACACGCGUGCGGACGCGUGCACGCGCACACAGGCUCCGUGAGCAGUACAGGAGUGUAGGAGAGGGACCCCCGGCAGAUGUUCCCUUGGUCCCCUCAGCCUCAGGAUGGAGAGAAUGGGGUCCAGGGUAGGGGCCCGGGCAUCCCUCCACAGUCUGCAUCCCACGGGACCUCUUCUUUCAGAUUGCUCUUUAUAUUUGCAUAGCAGUCACUCACCCACUGCAUCCUUCUGAAACGGCUCUGAUGUGGGUCAGACGCUAUGUAACAUCCACCGCUCCCCGUGUCCCGCAGCACGAUGCCUGGCACGCAGCAGGCACCGGGAGAUAUGCGUCAGCUGAAUGCAUUCAGUUGCAGCCGCCAUCAAGGAAAUGCCUAACCCAAACCCUCACGCUUUGUCUGAGGCUCCCUUGGUUGAACUGAAAGCCCUGGAUAGGGAGUCUGAGCUCUGAGUUCUGGCUUUGGCAUGAACUCCUGUGGGAUCUUGGCCUCCUGAGUGACCAAGGUGUCCCCCUCUGUGGCAUCAGUUUCCUUAUCUGAAAAGUCCUUGCCCUGCCCUGGUCAUGAUGGUUGUCUGAGGCACAUGGUGAACGCUGGCUGGCUUAUGGUCCCUGCAGCCUGGCAGGGAUGAUGGCCUGGCAGCUGUGGGAGCUCAGAGUCUGCUGGGCCCGAGGGGCUGAGGAGGCUCUGUGCAGGGUGAUUCCUCUGUUGACAGUCAUUUUUGUUCAUGUAGCACUAACUGCACAUGGUAGAUGCUCAGGGAAGUUUGGUUAGUCUGAACUCAGAACCAAAUCCUGUAAGUGUGAAUUUCCAGGAAGCAUUCGGAAAGCCCUUCUUCUGUGUCAAUUCUGCACCCAGAGAGUUCGGUGUCCUGGCUCUUGCUUGCCUCUUCAGCCAUGGGUCUCACCACCCCUAUUAGCUCAUGCUAAGCAAUAACCACUCUGAACUUUCACUUUCCUCAGCCUACUGUGGUCCCCCUGGCUCCCCUCUGCCAGUCCCAGUCCCUCAGCUGGCACACUGCUCUUCCCUUUGCCCUGUCCUUUUGUGCAGUAAACUCAACUUCAAACUCAAACUUCAGGUGUCCCCAAACCUUCCCUGGUUCCCCAUGUCUGGGUUGGGUGUGUCCACAGGCUGCUCAGCCUCCUGAACCUCUGCCAUCUCCGAACUUCUCAUGGUGAGACGUCCAGACUGGGCGUGGCUUCUGCUGGUACCUUGACCUUGAAAGAGCUGGGGUGCUGUCAUCUCCAAGGGAAACUCCUGUGGUCCCGCUGGUUCCCAUCUCAUGAUUUUAGUGCCCACCUGGCUCUCCAGGCACCUGAGGACCUGCCACCUGUGGCCAUUUUUGGGCCAAGUCCCCUCCAUUGAGCUGCAUGCCUAGGGGUCCACCCCUGCCUCAUAGGCUCGCUCAGCUGGGGACGGUCCUUCCAUAUCUCUAGGCACAGAGCUGGUGCCCACAUGCCAGCCCUUCCCUUCUGGGCCUUUUCCAAACACAGCAGGCCCCUCGCUCACCUUCCCAAGGGCUUCUGGGCUCCAUCGCCCCCUUUUCAGGGGUUGUCUUUCAGAGAUAACAGGAAGCAGAGUCCAAGGACUUAUAUUUUAAAGUUCCUGAGCAGAAAACUGCCUGUCCUUGUCGGUGGUAGCUUGUGACAAGACCAAACUCAAAGGAUUAUCUGCUGUGGAAAAGGUCAGACUGGUCGGGGGGGACAGGAGUGGCAGAAAAGUGGGCAGGCCUGGCAGGAAGGGGGGUGACUCCAAGCAGGUGGCAGGAAUGGCGGAAUGGCGAUGGGCCCUCUUCCCACCAGACACCUCAGAUCCCCCUGGGUUGGGGACCUGGAGUGCCAGCAGGGGGUGGGGCAGAGUGGGGGUGGGGUGGGGGGCACGGAGCCUGAGCGAGCAGCUUAACUCCUCUGUCAAAUGGAGAUGGCUCUGGCUCCUUCCUCACACGGCCGUUCUGAGGAUGGGAUGAGCUGAUGAAGACGCAGCUCUUAGAACCACGCCUGGUGUGUGAGUAUUUGCUGUGAUGAAGAUGCCGGUUGACUACCCACGUGUUUGCUCUCGCUGUUGUAGGGAUGGCGGUCGUUUAUGGCGCAGGGCGCUUAAUCUUCACCACACCGUGUGCAGCUAGGGACAUGCUGGGGAAUGCUAGGGAGCAGCAGAGGGACGGGGACCUGCAGGCAGAGUCUGUGCCGAGCCUGCAGUCAGACCUCCUCCCAGGGCCUCAGGCUCUCUAUCCAGGGCCCCUUCCUCUGUUUCUGGCUGCUUCCCCACAAGUCCAUGGAGGGGUGAGCCCUGGGAGAGGUGGCAGCGGGAUCUCAGCCCAGUAAGGCUGCUGCCUGACCCAGGGAGCCCCCCGUGGGGACCAUGUAACAGGCCACGUCUGGGGGUGCCCUGGGGCCGGGGGGAUGGUGGCCCUGCCCAGACCCUCUGCCGGUCCCUCAUUUCCAGCAGAGAUUCGUUUAAGAGCAAUGACCAGCGUGCUCGGGGACUUCAAAGAUAGUAUUUGAUGAGUUUUAGCAGCUUCAGCAAAACUCUAAUUUGAAUUUCAGGCGCUGGUGUGUGAUUUCCUCGGUGACAGCUCCGAGGGAGGCUUGGGCUCAGCUGUCAUCCAGUGGGGCCUCUCACUAGCUGUCGCUGCCGCCCACCUUCUCUGAGAGGAGAAACGGGAGGCUGAGAGGCGCCAGGGCUCCACGGAUGCUCAGGGAGGGGAGGAAUAAACAUGCGAUGAGGAGAGAGGCGAGUGAGGCAGCGGGGAAGGGAGGGGGAGGUCAGAGACCUCGGGAGAGACAGAGCCCCAGAGAACAAUCCAGAAAGGAGGGGAGAGAUAAGAAGACCCAGAGGGGAAAGGAUGAGAGAAGGGGAGAGAGAGAGACAGACGGAAAGGGAUGGCGAGCAGGCUGACAGACUGAGGGAGCUAGUGAGAGACUCAUAAAGAGGACGGGAGUGGAGACAGAGACACCUGGAGGGCAGGGACCGGACAGGGACAGGGAGGGGAGGACGUGGGGGAGGGGGAGACGCCCCAGGAAGACGCUCCUUCUCUAAGCACAUUCGUGGCCAGGCCUGCCCGCCCCCGGGGGCCCAGCUAACCAGACAGGCCAGAUCCAUGGGGUGGGGAGGGCCCUGGCUCAGGGCACUGGGUGGGGCCAGAGAAGAAAGUUCUUUCUCCCAGCCUCCCCUCCCCUUCUGCCUUAGCUGGGAAGAGGAGGUGAAGUCCUGUGCCUCCUGAACCCCAGACUCCUGCUCUCAACCUUUCCCCCACCUGCUGCCCCAACUCCCAGCAAUGGCACAGCUCACUAGCAGGGACAAUAAUGACCAUUCCUGAGGCUGUGCGUGUGCUCCACGUGGCAUGUAGCCCUCCACUACACACACACACACACACACACACACACACACACACACACACACACUCUCUCUCUCUCUCUCUCUCUCUCUCUCUCUUUCUCUCUCACUCAUGAUGGCUGGAGAAAGAGAGAGGCAGGAUGAAAGAGGGAUCCAGGAGCAAGGAAAAGAAUCACUCUUUUGCUCUGAGCCUAUUUCUUCCUCUGUCAAAAAGUCAGGAUCACACUGUCAAACGUCUCCAUGGGCUCCUGGGGGGUGAAAUGUGUGAUUCCUGCAGAGGGAGUAGCCCAGCACCUGGCCCAACUGAAUCUGAGCUGAAGGGAUACCCCCCCCCAAGAAGUGGCCCCCAGUUCUGAGAUCUGUCUUCCCCGUGACAUCACCCUCCCUGGGGAAGAGGAAGGCAGGGCCCUUCUGCCCGCCGUCCUCUCCUCCCAAACCGCGCAGGGGGUACACUAUACUUUCCAGGCCACGUAGCGAUUCCCCAGCCUCGGAGUGGAGCUCUUGGUGUCACAGGUGCUGUAGUGGCCGACCAGGCUGGCUCUCAGCCAGGGGGGCUGGGGUGGGGAGAGAAUGCUCGGCCCACAGGCCCAGGCAGGGGCCACAGCUCUCCUGGAGGCAUGAGAGCAAAGGCUGGGAGCAGGACGAGGUGAGAUCUCUCCCAACGAUAAGAUCUAGUUCAGUAGCCACAGGCCACACGUGGCUAUUGAGCACUCGAAAUGUGCAUAGGUGGUCUGAAUUGAGAUCAUUUAAUAAGACAAAAAAGUCAAAUGUCUCAUUAGCAUUUUUAUUGAUUACAUAUUGAAAUGAAAAUAAUUUGGCAGUAUUGGAUUAAAUAAACAUGUAUUG